GUGAAUCAUCAAAUUUUUGAACGCACAUUGCACUCUCUGGUAUUCCGGAGAGUAUGCCUAUUUGAGGGUCAUUUGAAAUAAUAUAAAUUCUAAGAUUUCUCGGAAUUUAAAAUGGGUUGUCUAUUUUUUGUGGUCGCUUAAAAUCCAAGACAAGCUCAUUUUCUUGGGUUGCGUGAAACUUUUAGUUACCUCUUGACUUAACCAGGAAUAACUGGGA
rnacentral:misc_RNA from 1 species